AAUUCAGACAUGGUUUGGCCUCAGAGAUGCCAUUCUGCGACUAUCAGGAGUCCCUGCCACACUGAAAACCCCUAAUCCUGAUCAAGGAAACCAAGCUUCAAGGGAUGUGGGGAGCUGGAGACAGAUUGUUCAUUUGAAGAAUUUGGGGAGUAACAGAAAAUGAGAGCUUCAGCAAAAACACAUUCCAGGAGGCACAGAAUCCAGCACCCACUGCGCUUCAUUGUCAUCCCCUUCUGGCUCAGACUCUGCAUUUUCUGCUUCCUCCAGGAGAGCCCCUGUCUGCCUCAAAGGAUCAUGGAAAAGCAGAGCCUCUCCAGGCACUGCCAUCUCUCUGGAGGUGCUGCAGGGAAGUUGUCAUUGUUUUUGGUAAUUGUAACUGGGACAAAGUUUUUCAAAAAUUACUGGGGGAAAUUCAGCCCCGAUAUUUCACAUAGGUUCUUUUCUAUUUUCCCUAAGUGUCAGCCAGUCUGAGAAAUAAAGGGAAAGAGUACAAAAGAGAGAAAUUUUAAAGCUGGGUGUCCAGGGGAGACAUCAAAAGUCAGCAGGUUCUGUGAUGCCCCUCAAGCCACAAAACCAGCAAGUUUUUAUUAGCAAUUUUGAAAAGGGGAGUGAGUGUACGAAUAGGGUGUGGGUCACAGAGAUCACAUGCUUCACAAGGUAAUAAAAUAUCACAAGGCAAAUGGAGGCAGGGCAAGAUCACAGGACCACAGGACUGGGGCGAAAUUAAAAUUGCUAAUGAAGUUUCAGGCACGCAUUGUCAUUGAUAACAUCUUUUAGGAAACAGGGUUUGAAAGCAGACAACCGGUCUGACCAAAAUUUAUUAGGCAGGAAUUUCCUCGUCCUAAUAAGCCUGGGAGCACUACUGGAAACCGGGGCUUAUUUCAUCCCUCCACUAUGAUCGUAAAAGACAGCUGUCCCCAAAGUGGUCAUUUCAGAGGCCUCCCUUCAGGGACGCAUUCUCUUUCUCAGGGAUGUUCCUUGCUGAGAAAAAGAAUUCAGUGAUAUUUCUCCCAUUUGCUUUUGAAAGAAGAGAAAUGUGGUUCUGUUCCACCUGGCUCACUGGCAGUCAGAGUUUAAGGUUAUCUCUCUUGUUCCCUGAACACUGCUGUUAUCCUGUUCUUUUUUCAAGGUGCCCAGAUUUCAUAUUGUUCAAACACACAUGCUCUACACACAAUUUGUACAGUUAACACAAUCAUCACAAGGUCCUGAGGUGACAUACAUCCUCUUCAGUUUACAAAGAUGACGGGAUUGAGAGAUUAAAGUAAAGACAGGCAUAGGAAAUCACGAGGGUAUUGAUUGGGGAAGUGAUAAGUGUCCAUGAAAUCUUCACAAUUUAUGUUCAGAGAUUGCAGUAAAGACAGGCAUAAGAAAUUAUAAAAGUAUUAAUUUGGGGAACUAAUAAAUGUCCAUGAAAUCUUCA
rnacentral:lncRNA from 1 species